CUGCGAACACCCCCGCGAUGACAGCAAGAAACUCAGCACAGGCUAAUUGAUGCCACUGAGGGGAUGAGUUCUCCGUGCAGCCAGGGAACAGCCUGCUACUGGCAGCUGAGGCGUAGCCCAGCAAACUGCUUUCAUGAGAGCGGACUGUAAAGAUCUAUGACAGCAGUAACAGGCAGGGAUAAAGUUGAUGUCCAUUGACCCUGUUCCACAGCAUGGAUGAGCUCACAGAGGAGUCCUGCAAAGCACAUUCCUGCAUGUCAUAGGAUCAUGGGAAUGAAUCCCAGAUUCAUCACCUGGGAAUCCUGCCUCAUUACCUGGAAACCACUGUUCUGUACAUCAGAUGCUGUGAAAGUGUUGAAUUCAGGAAACAAGUGAUAACAUUGCAACCGCCUAUUAAUGUCCAAGAGUUCAGCUAUUACUCAAGCACGUUAUAAGCCAGCUGAGAUAUGUAUGCAGCUAUCAAGUAACAGAUGAUCUGUCCUGUUUAUGUAUACCAAUGUUGGAUGCCAAAUGAGGGUGAAGGGGUUAAUGACAAAGUGUUCAGUAGCAAGCAUGACAUACCCAUUCAAGGCAUUCCCUUGCCUUUACUUCUGUCUCACUGUCAUGACAAGCUCCUGUCUUUCAGCUGUGCCAUUCCCACUGUUUGCCAAGCUAUUCUGUGAAUGGGAUCACACAAGUGACACUCAAAAAAAGGCUCUUUUUUUCACACAGGAUUACUUUUCAACUAGCUGCAUUUCACUGACAGGGUUUGUUACGCGGCUCAUACGCAUCGUGACGGCACCAGGGGGAGGGCAGCAGUGUGGGCGAAGGGUGAGGCGACAGGUAAUACCUACUUUAGACGGUGUUGCCACCCAGAAAAUUCUUUAUGCAGCUACUCUCUCAAACAAAGGAUUGCUGUUAGUAUGUUUACACAUUACAUUCAUACACCAUGAAAAUAUAUACUAAUAGUGUGAAAUUGUAGCCUUGGUGGAAUUUAGAGGCAACCAAAGCUCCUUUUUUUCCUCUGGACAUCUGAAGUCUCUGCCCUUUCAGUUGCUCUAACCUGAUGCUAAGUAGGAGCUGAACACCUUGGUUGAAACCCUGGCAGAAAGGCAGUCCCUGAUGACACAUCACACUGACCUGGAGGGGUGAGGAGGAGCAGGUUUCACGUCAGCAAUUCUCAUAAGUUUAAACCAAAAACUCUUUGACUUCACCAGUACUAAAACACAAAUAAGCAUACUGCAACGUCUUACCUUAAAGCGUGUCCUUUCAGAAGAACUAAGGCAUCUGAGUGAGAAGUGAAGUAGGUUAAGCAGAGGUACAUCCCCUUCUGCCUGUUCUGGUAAUCAAUGGCAGAGGAGCAGAAUGGCAGCCAUGCAGUAAAAACCGUGGCUGCUAAAUUUACCACAGCUGAUUUAUCAAUGCUCUUACUCAUCUGGAAUGUACCCACAUGAACAGCCCUACUGAAAUCAGCUUGUAAAUUAGAUAAAUGUCACCCACACCCAUUUUAAGAUUCCUUUUUUGCCAAGAUGGCAUAAAGGGGGAGGCGGGGGUUGUGUAUAGGGAAGGAAACAGGUGUUGGGACUAGGAUUUUGAAAUCAGUAGGGCAAGUCAUCCAAGUGCCUGGCAACAUAUGCAGCUGUUUACAAUUUCACAUAAGUUUGUGAGAAAAUCUAGACUGCAACUUCAGAACGCGAAUACGGAUCCAUGCAUGCAAAGCUCUUGUGCUCUCACAGGGGGUAUCAGCACACAAUUAAACAAAACUAUUUAUAUUUACUAACCACGUUGUUGAAACAACAGUGCAAGUCUUGCUUUGCAAUCUAAGAAUAUCCAUUUUCAUGCCAAAUAUACGUGAAUUAAAUUCACCUUAUACAAUUCCCUGAGAGAACUGAAGAUUAAAGAGAAAUCUGCUCCUUUAAACUCUGGAGAAUAACCUCAGUGAACUAACCCUUGGUUGCUAAUUGAAUGACAUCAGAAAGCAGCCAUCAGCAGUGCUCUGCCAAUUUCCUAGACACUGGAGAGUUUUGCUAAGAGUUGCAUUAAAUGAUCUGUCAUCAACUCAAUAUUAAUCUCCCAGUAUUUUAUUACUCAGUCUUAAAUAGGGCCUUCUGGAGGGUAUGAUUUAUUGGCAAUGGGAGGCAGUAAUUACAAAGUGAGGUAUAGUAAAAAACCCACGGCAAGUAAGUUAAAACAGUGUCUGGGGACCAUUUGAUAUUGUGCUGGCAAACAGAACAUGUUAUAAAACCGUUUUAGAGAGAACAGAUAUAAUACAGGCAUCUAGCUGCUAAAGUACAAAAAGGAACCCUGAAGCAGAAAAUUAUGUUUUUUAUUUCUCAUGUUAAGGCGUAACCUUUCAGGCUACGCUCCUUUAACAGUGGAUUCUGCCUAAACAGGCUACCAUGGGGAUGCACCGAGUUUCUCAAAUGUGCUGCAGGACUGGACACAUUUUUUAAACGUGUAGUAAUCACUGUACGUGAGAUGCCAUGUUCCAUGGUCUGCUUUUUGGGUGCCAUAUGGCUGUUGACAGUCUCACUGAACUCAGUGGUGAAACGGCUCCAAGUAAGAGUAGAGUUAAGCUGAGGAAAUAUGCACUAUACAUGUGCAUAACACUGACAUAAUUCUGUUUUAGUUAAGGGAAUAUUUCAGGAAAGUGAAAACAAAAUCCCACUGAACUAUUACAGUUUAGAUAUCCCAACCUGAGCCAACAUGAACAGAUAACAGGUAUUGUGAAGAGUCGGUAAGAAAAACUAAAAUCAAAGCGUACAAAUCACCAGCUGUCACAGGGCAGGGCGUAAGUCUGCUAAAAAAGAUAAAUGGCUUUGGAAAGCAUCACUGAGUUAUAAGGAAGCCUUAACCCAUGAAACACCAAGCCGACCUUACAGCCUGAUGUUCCUACAGCCAUCAUCGUUGUGCAACAAAGCAUGAGUAAUAGCAGAGGAGUUUAGUUCAACCGUAUCAGUGCAUGGAAAGACCAGAAAAGUACUGGAGCAUUUCCCUGAAUUGGCUACUCAUUGCAACAAACCCUCUGCCUUGAAGAACUUGUAUUCCUUGUAGGUAAAAUGGGCAGGUGGCGCUGGAAAGAGGUACAUUUUACAUGAUAAAUGACCAGCAGCAAUGUACCUUGCAAAGCAUAAUAGACCUCAAUGAAGAGCAUUUCUUCAUUAAACAACAUUUUGAAGAUGUAUAGCAUAAUGGAAAAAAAUAAAAAUCAUUACUAGUAUUAUUGCAUUAUAAUUAGGGAAUUUGGACUAUUUCUAAGCAAAACAGAGACAGCAUACUGAUUUGGGAUAGAUUAUUGGUUUCUCACUCACCGUUGUCAUUAAUAUGCAUUCAGUAACUGAAUUACUGCUCUUGAAAUACUAACUGUUUAGGUAUAAAACAAGUAUGCAGAUUGUGUAAUGGGAAUUUUAUUAAGAAAUCAUGCAAUAGCUUAAUAUCCUUGUGUUAUUAUUUGUAAUAGUAUAUUCUUUGAGUUUGCGAGAGCAAACCAAGAAAAUGACAGCUAAGAGUCUCUCCAUAUGUACCUGAUGUC